rnacentral:lncRNA from 1 species
UCAACAUCAUCGCUGGAGGGUCAUUUCUCCAUAAGAUUCUGGCUGAAGGUAGGAAAUCCCUAUAUCGUAUCACUGAGAACACCUCCUUUGUAGUCAAGUCUGAACCCCUCCAAGAAGAGCGUAAGUCAAGCCAUGAGGAUCUUCUAGCGGUCGAAUCUGAUCCUUCACCUUCCACAUCAACAGAUUCAACCAUAGAACCCUCAUCCAAACCAAGAACAUCAGAAGGAGAAGAAAUUCAACCUCCAAAGUUCCCUUUCAAAUUCGAGGAUGAUCCAUCUAGAAAUCAUAGAAACACCUCGAAUCUCUUUGAUGCCCAAUUAGGGGAGGAACCUUCUUCUGUCCACACCAACCAAUCUAGAAAUCCCUUGAUAGAACCUUCCCUCAGGCCUACAAAACCUCCUUCUCCUCC